GUUCCCGUAGCUUAACUGGAUAGAGCGUCUGCUUGCGGAGCAGAAGGCUGAGAGUUCAAGUCUCUCCGGGGACA
rnacentral:tRNA from 1 species